rnacentral:ribozyme from 13 species
GUAAAAUGAUUGAAAGAAACAAUGAAAAAAGAAAGCCAUAAAACAAGGAAAGCAAGAUGAUAAUAGUGGUAAUUUGCAUGGCCAUA